rfam:Camponotus floridanus CamFlo_1.0_4.contig390, whole genome shotgun sequence.
GGCUGAAUAGCUCAGUGGUAAGAGCAGUCGGCCGACAAGCGAAAGACUCGGAUUCGACUUCCGAUUCAGCGA